GACAGAGGUGGCAAGCGUUGUUCGGAUUUACUGGGCGUAAAGAGCGCGUGUAGGCGGCCCUGCAAGUCGGAUGUGAAAUCCCACGGCUCAACCGUGGAAGUGCAUUCGAAACUGCAGGGCUAGAGUCCUGGAGAGGAAGGUGGAAUGCUUGGUGUAGAGGUGAAAUUCGUAGAUAUCAAGCGGAACACCGGUGGCGAAGGCGGCCUUCUGGACAGUGACUGACGCUGAGACGCGAAAGCGUGGGGAGCAAACAGG
rnacentral:rRNA from 1 species